rnacentral:tRNA from 1 species
GGCGGAAUUGGUGAAGGGGUUAACACACUGGUUUGUGGAUCCAGCAUGCGUGGGUUCGAUUCCCACAUUCCGCCCCAU